GACGAACGCUGGCGGCGUGCUUAACACAUGCAAGUCGAACGGAAAGGCCAUGCUCUUGCGGGGUGCUCGAGUGGCGAACGGGUGAGUAAAACGUGUGUAACAUGCACUUGACUUUGGGAUAAAUUCAGGAAAAUGGGGCUAUUAUCGGAUAGGAGCUCCUGAUGCACGGUGGGGGUUGGUAAGUGUCGGCGGUUGUGGAUGGACUCGCGGCUUAUCCGCUUGUUGGUGGGGUAGUGGCUUACCAAGGGUUCGACGGGUAGCCGGCCUGAGAGGGUGGCCGGCCACAUUGGUACUGAGAGACGGACCAGUCGCCUACGGGAGGCAGCAGUGGGGAAUAUUGCACAGUGGGCGGGAGCCUGAUGCAGCAACGCCGCGUGCGUGAUGACGGCCUACGGGGGGUAAACCGCUGUCGCCGUAGACGAAGCGUGAGUGACGGUAAUUAGUAAGGAAGCACCGGCUAACUACGUG
rnacentral:rRNA from 1 species